AAAAAUCUGGGUCAAAUCCACUACAAAUGUAAAAUAAAACGUAUAUAGUGGACUGGGCCUAGCUCUAA
rnacentral:sRNA from 1 species